AAGUUUUAUGAGCAACAGAAGAUGAGAGGUGGGUUUUCUGUUGUCAAGCAUGUCUAUUGCUGCCUAUUUUACGUAUAUAAUGAAUUUGCAACUAUGCCUGCAUGUCUGAAUCCAACACAAGAACUUCAGGACGGCUUAAAGGCAGUUUAGGUACUUAAGGGAUCACUUGCGGGUUCCCAAGGUGCUUUAGGUAUAUUUUUUUGCAGAGAUUGGCAGUUGAUGAUGUGUAUAUUGCCGUUUUAUUUUCCAGUAUACUAUUCGUUUAUUUUAGAAGGUUUCCAGAGCUGUAUUGCUGAAAUCCAAAGGGGUAGUGCAGAGCAGCACUUCAAACUCCACUGAGGUAUUAACACCUUGGACUGUGCAUUCUUUGAAUUUAUGGUUCUUCCUCUCCAUUUGUUGUGCUAAAUUUUUGACCCUUAAGAAUUGCAGAUCAGUACAUUCAAUAACACUUCAGAAUUGAUUUCUGUUAUUCAUUCAUUUAGGUUACAUCCAAUAACACAUAAUUGAUAAACAAAUGUUUCCUUUCAAAAGUAGAAGUUGUGGCCUUUUUAAGCAUACCUUCUUUGCUUAGGGCCAUGGCUGGGUUGUCGUAAAAUUACUUGAAAGAACCAUCCCAUGGAACUCAGAUUCUAUACUUUCUGUUGUUUCAAUUAUUUUAUUACAAGGGCAGUUGUUUGGUAGAAUCUCUUGUGAAGUAACAUUCCUCAUAAAUCUUGGCAAUUGCUACUUUUUACCAUCUGAACUAAAAGUCUCUCUAAAUUCUGGUGAUUUAUUUGAGAACCUAAUGAAAUUCGUGUCUUUUUACUGCUUAAUUUCUACAUCUACAUGCCUUCGAUUGUGGGCAUAAAUGGAGGGAGAAUCAUGAUCUGAGAGUGUAGGUAAUACUCAAAGAGUAACACUGUUUUCAGAACUUGAGUAUAUGAUUUUCGGAAUGUUAGGGUAGAUUCCUAGGUUACUUCCCCUUCGACUAUUCCUGUCAUCUCAAAAUUUGAUAGGAAUCUGUUAAAUCAAGGCAUACUCAAAACUUCAUUACGAGUCAAAAGUAUGCAUGCUUCUGCAAAGGGGAAGUAAUUAUCAAUACAAGAACUUGCUUUUUUCUCUCUUUUUUACCAAUCUUCAUUUAGUGUUUGAUUUUAAACAUCAGCCGGAUUUCCUCAUCUGAUGUGGUUCGGAGUAGACGGAUAACACAAUGGCGUGGUCAUUCAUCUUCCUGGUCCAAGUAUGUAGGACUUAUUCACUCUUAAAAUAGUGCUUGCACUUGCUAAUCAGAUGUUGAUUUUCCUUACUGUAUCAUACCAUUUUGUCUGUUAAUAUUGGUCCACCUGUCUGACGUAAUAUGGAUGAAAAGACUGGCUUGCAAACUCAAAAUUCAGUCCUUAUUUGAUUGAUCUUUACGGAGCUAAUGUAAAACUUUUCAUGUUUGCAACGAAGCAGAUGGAUGAACCUGGAUCGAGGGCAAGCGGCAUGAGGAGAUCUGCAGUCAUCCACCCCGAGUUGACUAGCAUGCGGAGACCUACUGAGCUGCUCUCUCUCACUCUCUCUUGAGCAAAAC
rnacentral:lncRNA from 1 species